CCUACGGGAGGCAGCAGUGAGGAAUAUUGGUCAAUGGGCGGAAGUCUGAACCAGCCAAGUAGCGUGCAGGAUGACGGCCCUAUGGGUUGUAAACUGCUUUUAUAUGGGAAUAACGUGCCUUACGUGUAGGGUUUUGUAUGUACCGUAUGAAUAAGGACCGGCUCACUCCGUUCCAGCAGCCGCGGUAAUACGGAGGGUCCGGGCGUUAUCCGGAUUUAUUGGGUUUAAAGGGAGCGUAGGCGGAUUGUUAAGUUUGUUGUGAAAUUUUGCGGCUCAACCGGAAAAUUGCAGUGGAAACUGGGGGUCUUGAGUGCAGGAGAGGCAGGCGGAAUUCGUGGUGUAGCGGUGAAAUGCUUAGAUAUCACGAAGAACCCCGAUUGCGAAGGCAGCUUGCUGGACCGUAACUGACGCUGAUGCUCGAAAGUGCGGGUAUCAAACAGGAUUAGAUACCCCAGUAGUC
rnacentral:rRNA from 1 species